CUGCUGCCUCCCGUAGGAGUCUGGGCCGUGUCUCAGUCCCAAUGUGGCCGUCCAACCUCUCAGUCCGGCUACCGAUCGUCGGCUUGGUGGGCCGUUACCCCACCAACUACCUAAUCGGACGCGAGCCCAUCUUUCAGCGGAUUGCUCCUUUGAUUAUCCUACCAUGCGAUAAGAUAAUGUCAUGCGGUAUUAGCGUUCGUUUCCAAACGUUAUCCCCCUCUGAAAGGCAGGUUGCUCACGCGUUACUCACCCGUCCG
rnacentral:rRNA from 1 species